UUCGUUACAGCUCAUUAACAACUGGUGUUUAUCUCAGUCACGUCGUUUUCUUUUUGUGGUGUGGCCCAAGAAGAUCCAGCCAAGUUCGUGGUAAAAUUCUACCACUUUUUCACUUAACAGAUAUUUAGAGGCACCUGUUAUUUGCCAGGCACUAUUCCAGAGGUCAGGAUUUUAACAGAGACCAAACUGACAAGUCACCCUGGCCUCUUGAAGUGUAUGCUGUGUGGAAGGAGACAGAACAGUGAGGAUGACAUGUGAUGUGAGCUAAGAAUUUUGAAGGAGAGGCCAGCAGGGCGAG